GCCUGGGUGGCUCAGUUGGUUGAGCAUCUGACUUCAGCUCAGAUCAUGAUCUCGCAGUUUGUGAGUUCGAGCCCCACAUCAGGCU
rnacentral:tRNA from 1 species